GACGAACGCUGGCGGCGUGCUUAACACAUGCAAGUCGAACGGAAAGGCCCUGCUUUUGUGGGGUGCUCGAGUGGCGAACGGGUGAGUAACACGUGAGUAACCUGCCCUUGACUUUGGGAUAACUUCAGGAAACUGGGGCUAAUACCGGAUAGGAGCUCCUGCUGCAUGGUGGGGGUUGGAAAGUUUCGGCGGUUGGGGAUGGACUCGCGGCUUAUCAGCUUGUUGGUGGGGUAGUGGCUUACCAAGGCUUUGACGGGUAGCCGGCAUGGGAGGGUGACCGGCCACAUUGGGACUGAGAUACGGCCCAGACUCCUACGGGAGGCAGCAGUGGGGAAUAUUGCACAAUGGGCGGAAGCCUGAGGCAGCAACGCCGCGUGCGGGAUGACGGCCUUCGGGUUGUAAACAGCUUUCGCCUGUGACGAAGCGUGAGUGACGGUAAUGGGUAAAGAAGCACCGGCUAACUACGUG
rnacentral:rRNA from 1 species